rnacentral:rRNA from 1 species
UACGUAGGGGGCAAGCGUUGUCCGGAAUCAUUGGGCGUAAAGCGCGUGUAGGCGGUUCGGUAAGUCUGCUGUGAAAGUCCAGGGCUCAACCCUGGGAUGCCGGUGGAUACUGUCGGACUAGAGUACGGAAGAGGUGAGUGGAAUUCCCGGUGUAGCGGUGAAAUGCGCAGAUAUCAGGAGGAACACCGGUGGCGAAGGCGGGUCUCGUGGGCAGUAACUGACGCUGAGGAGCGAAAGCGUGGGGAGCGAACAGG